GGGGUGGAGGAGAGGGGCAAUGGCACCAAGCCAGGACUGCACAUGGGAUGGGGUGCAGGAGCCACGGCCCAGCUCCAUGCCACCUGCCCUCUCAUUUGUCCUCGUUAAGGGCUGGCAGGGCAUCUAAUUAGGUAGUGUGAGUGCCAGAGCCCUGCUGACAGCCACCUGUGCACUGCACCUCCUCCUUGCAUUGCCUCCUAAUUAGUGGGCAGGAUGCUGCUGCCCUCGCCGGGAUGUGCCAGCACGAGUGGCACUGCUGUCACCUCAGCCCUGUGCCCCUCCUGGAGCAUCCCCUCCCACAGACACCCCCAGGACCCCAAGGUCCACAUCCCAUGGGCUCCAAGCUCUAGCAUCCUCUGUUCACCUUGAGCACCCCAGAUCCAUGGGAUGCAGCCACCCGCAGGCAGAUAUGGUGCGAGGACAUGGAACCUUCACAGCCCCAUGAGCCGGGAAGGGCUAACGAGCCGGAGGCCACUUUAAUUAGAUUAAUUGGUUCCCAUUCAGCUCCAGAAGAGCUGUCAGGCUGUGAGCGCCUUCCUGCUGUACCUGGCUAAUUGCAGCACCACGGCUGCCUCUCUGUAGCACUUGAUGGCCAUUGAGGGCAGGCACUGGGCAGAGCUAUGUGGUGCACCCUCAGGGGCAUGCAGGAAGCUUUGGCAGCUCCAGGAGGUGCCAGCCACAGCCCAAGGUUGGCACAGGGUGCGGCAGCUCCCCAGGGUGCACAGGGCUUUGGAAGGUGCACCCAUAGGUGCAAAGCAGUCGGCAUCCACCAGCUGUAUCCCACACCCCACAGGUCCCCCUCAGCCUCCAAACCUCACACGAGACACUCACUCACUCAUCUCCCAGCCACUGCACGUGUCCAUGGGGAUGGCCUGGCCACUGGAAUGCCACCAAGCCCAGUACUGUCCCCAAUAUGGUCACCAACCCCCAGUGGUGCCCACUCAUACCCUGUCCCCAUAUGGGAUGGCAGCAGGAGGAGGUGGCCCCAGGGGUACAUGGAAGGAGCUGGAAGCAAGAUGCUGGCUCCAUCCAAGGUGUGCAUGUAUGGGACAAGUCCGACUGGAGCUCUUUAACCAAGGCAGUGGCAACACGUCCCUGGGGAGCUAUGCUUCAAUGUGUUCUUUUUUUUUUCUGCCAGUGAAUGUUAAUCCCGGCUCAGCAUCUGCUGCCUGCACUCCCAGCAGGCUUGCUGUCCCCAGGUCUGGGGGCAUGGCCCACUUGGUGAGCCCAGCAGUGUGUGGGGACACAGGGAUGGUGGCGGGUCAGGGUGUAAGGGCUCCAUCCCUGGGGGAUGGGGGAAACAAUGGAUACCAGUGUGCCAUGAGGGUGGGGUCAGUGGCAACAGCUCCGUAGGAUGGGCUCAUGUCCCUGCAGAUGGGACGUGUCAUGUGGGGACCACAUACCAGCUGUGGGGUGGGGACAGUGAGAUCUCCCCUUGCCACUGCACUUGGAGUUGGGGUCAGACUGGGGCUGGAUGCUUUUCUCAUCCUUCAACUUCAUCUCUAUGCCUUGUAGGAGUAAGCAAAGCUCUUCUGCUUGCCCUGGGUUUGGG
ensembl:lncRNA